GCACUGGUCACAUAAUGGUUAAGUACUUGGCUGCUAACCAAAAGGUUUGUGGUUCAAACCCCACCCAGAUGCU
rnacentral:tRNA from 1 species